rnacentral:rRNA from 1 species
GACGAACGCUGGCGGCGUGCCUAAUACAUGCAAGUUGAGCGCUGAAGGUUGGUACUUGUACCAACUGGAUGAGCAGCGAACGGGUGAGUAACGCGUGGGGAAUCUGCCUUUGAGCGGGGGACAACAUUUGGAAACGAAUGCUAAUACCGCAUAAAAACUUUAAACACAAGUUUUAAGUUUGAAAGAUGCAAUUGCAUCACUCAAAGAUGAUCCCGCGUUGUAUUAGCUAGUUGGUGAGUUAAAGGCUCACCAAGGCGAUGAUACAUAGCCGACCUGAGAGGGUGAUCGGCCAAAAUGGGAAUGAGACAAGGCACAAAAGCAUGAGGGAGGCAGCAGUAGGGAAUCUUCGGAAAUGGACGAAAGACUGACCGAGCAACGACGCGUGAGUGAAGAAGGGUUUCGGAUCGUAAAACUCUGUUGGUAGAGAAGAACGUUGGGGAGAGUGGAAAGCUCAUCAAGUGACGGUAACUACCCAGAAAGGGACGGCUAACUACGUG